rnacentral:lncRNA from 1 species
UAUAUCUAGGCUGGGCGCGGUGGCUCACGCCUGUAAUCCCAGCACUUUAGGAGGCCAAGGCCGGCGGAUCGCGAAGUCAGGAGAUCAAGACCAUCCUGGCUAACACAGUGAAACCCCGUCUCUACUAAAAAAAUACAAAAAAAUUAGCAUGGCAUGGUGGCGACUUAGCUCGCCGCUGGCUUGGUCCCGACAUCAGCCACGAUUCAGGAGUCCUCCUCCUCUGCCCACGUGAUCUUAGUGGCCCUGAUCCUUCCUCGCAUGUCAUCUCACGGCUGUGGUUCACCGGCUGCUUUAUCUCAAGCCUCAGCCAAUAUAAACUCAAACUACAAGUUGAUGAUGUUUCUGCCCUGCAGUUCUUUCCAGCCAAGAACACAGUGCCCCCAGGGUCCUCGAGUUGUCAUGAAAUAAAUAAUUGUGCCGGU